AGAGUUUGAUCAUGGCUCAGGACGAACGCUGGCGGCGUGCUUAAUGCAUGCAAGUCGAACGAAGAACCCUCAACGGGUAACCAGAGAGGGACUCUUAGUGGCGAACGGGUGAGUAACACGUGAGAAACCUGCCCCGGAGACCGGGAUAGCCCAGGGAAACCUGGAUUAAUACCGGAUAUCCUCCAACGACCGCAUGGUCGAAUGAGGAAAUGGUCCGCCGCUCCGGGAUGGUCUCGCGUCCUAUCAGCUUGUUGGUGAGGUAACGGCUCACCAAGGCAACGACGGGUAGCUGGUCUGAGAGGACGAUCAGCCACACUGGGACUGAGACACGGCCCAGACUCCUACGGGAGGCAGCAGCAGGGAAUAUUGCACAAUGGGCGCAAGCCUGAUGCAGCGACGCCGCGUGGGGGAUGACUGCCUUCGGGUUGUAAACCCCUUUCAGGAGGGACGAAGCGAAAGUGACGGUACCUCCAGAAGAAGCCCCGGCCAACUACGUGCCAGCAGCCGCGGUAAUACGUAGGGGGCGAGCGUUGUCCGGAUUUAUUGGGCGUAAAGAGCUCGUAGGCGGCUCAGCAAGUCGACCGUGAAAACCUGAGGCUCAACCUCAGGACGCCGGUCGAAACUGCUGUGGCUAGGGUCCGGUAGAGGAGAGUGGAAUUCCCGGUGUAGCGGUGAAAUGCGCAGAUAUCGGGAGGAACACCAGUAGCGAAGGCGGCUCUCUGGGCCGGCACCGACGCUGAGGAGCGAAAGCUAGGGGAGCAAACAGGAUUAGAUACCCUGGUAGUCCACGCCCUAAACGAUGAGAACUAGCCGUUGGGGGUAUUAUAAACCUUUAGUGGCGAAGCUAACGCGAUAAGUUCUCCGCCUGGGGAGUACGGCCGCAAGGUUAAAACUCAAAGGAAUUGACGG
rnacentral:rRNA from 1 species